rfam:Triticum aestivum genome assembly, contig: Triticum_aestivum_CS42_TGACv1_scaffold_394684_5AS
UACAUACUCCCUUCGUUUCAAAUUACUCCUUGCAGAAAUGGAUGUAUCUAGAACUAAAAUAUAUCUAGAUACAUCCAUAUCUGUGACAAGUAAUUUGAAACGGAGGGAGUAGCAA